rnacentral:rRNA from 1 species
UACGGGGGGGGCAAGCGGUUGUUCGGAAUUACUGGGCGUAAAGGGUGCGUAGGCGGCCAACUAAGUCACACGUGAAAUCCCCAGCUUAACCUGGGAACUGCGUGUGAUACUGGAUGGCUUGAAUCCGGGAGAGGGAUGCAGAAUUCCAGGUGUAGCGGUGAAAUGCGUAGAUAUCUGGAGGAAUACCGGUGGCGAAGGCGGCAUCCUGGACCGGCAUUGACGCUGAUGAGCGAAAAGCUAGGGGAGCAAACGGGG